GAAAGAAAAACGGAGUCCUGAGCAACGAAGAUGUAGCUCAGUGCGGUGAGGAGAAGGAGAAAGAAAGGGAAAGAUGGCAGAGCCUAAACUGGCAUUCAUCAAGGAGAUAAGAAGCCUCGAGGUUGCCAUAGCUGAGCUCAAUAAUCUUUCUUCAUCCAGGGCUGUCUACCACAAAAAUGGGAAUAUAUUCUUCCGGACAACCAUUCAAAAGGCAACUGCAUCUGAACAGAAACAACUUGAUUUGGCCAAAGCCAAGCUUGAAAAGCUGAAUUCUCCUUGAAGCGACUUGGGUUGCUAUGUCUUCGCUAGACCUACACCUUUCUGGCUGCAAAAGCUUUUCACUUAUACGAGAAGGCAUUCAACUGAGGUUGGUCUCUUUUAGUACUGAAAUGUCUUUAGAAGGUCAUGAGAUUUGUAAAGAACUAUUUCUCUACUGCGUCGGCUCAACAGGCUGAGGCUUGAGUCUUCAUUGUAAUACUUUAACAGUGGACCUUUUUUCCCAAUUUUUCUGCCUUCUGGUGCGCUUUA